rnacentral:lncRNA from 1 species
CGAGUACCUCGAUCUGCCAAGGAGAGGAGCCGGAGGCGCGGAACACCCUGAACCCGGAAGCAGAAAUACUGGCGAAUAGGAAGUGAAGCUCCGAGGUACAGCGGAUAGGUCCGCCCUCGCCCCGCCCACUUUUUUCUGGUCCUUUCCCGGCUACGUUCGACCCAUUUCCUGCUGGCCCCGCCCCUCCCCCUUCUCCAUGUAGCUCCUCCCCCGACAGGCCGCGCCCCCUUCCCUGGCGCGCAGGCGCGGAGGCACGGAGUGAGUCACGCGGCCACUCUCACGUCACUGGAGACUGUGUGGUACGUCACUGGCGGACUUCCGGAGGCGCUGCUCAGGGAGCCUACUCUGAACUCUGAGGUUCUUGUCGCCGGACGUGAAUUCCGUCAGUGGAUUAUCUGAAUGGCCAUAUUGCAGCGUCUUCUUUCCCAAGAGUAAUUGUGCCUGCCAACUGCCGUGCCACCUCACCAUUUGGAGAGCAUUGCAGCAUGUUGUGAGCUAGGUAUUUGACCUAAAUUUCUUUCUUCACUAUAGCCUUACUGAAGAUAGCAUCCUUUCUCUGGUUUCUCUGGAUCAUAGUGCCUCACAUCUGACAGACAUCUAUAGCUAUGUCAAAUAGAAGAGUUAGUGAUGUGCUAGUUUGUCAUACGUGAGUUAUGAAGGAGUUUGAAUUGUUUUGUAAACUACUGGGCUGCUAUAUUUAUUUGUUGAGGUCAUGAAAAUUAAGAAUUAAAAAACAUAUUUGAGCCAAUCAACAAAUAUCAUAUCUUUUUAAAAUAGCUUGUGUAAAGAAGACUUGAAGAGUUUAAACUCGG